rnacentral:tRNA from 1 species
AGCAGGAUGGCGCAGUCUGGCAGCGCAUAGGUCUCAUAAUGUACGUAUUACAGAUAUCAUAUAAAAAGAAAACAAAAUAUAACUAACCUCCAUAUAGCCUAGGGUCGAAAGUUCAAAUCCUUCUUCUGCUU